rnacentral:rRNA from 1 species
GGAGUUUGAUCCUGGCUCAGAACGAACGCUGGCGGCAGGCUUAACACAUGCAAGUCGAACGCCCCGCAAGGGGAGUGGCAGACGGGUGAGUAACGCGUGGGAACAUACCCUUUCCUGCGGAAUAGCCUCGGGAAACUGGGAUUAAUACCGUAUACGCCCUUCGGGGGAAAGAUUUAUCGGCAAAGGAUUGGCCCGCGUUGGAUUAGGUAGUUGGUGGGGUAAAGGCCUACCAAGGCGACGAUCCAUAGCUGGUCUGAGAGGAUGAUCAGCCACAUUGGGACUGAGACACGGCCCAAACUCCUACGGGAGGCAGCAGUGGGGAAUAUUAGACAAUGGGCGCAAGCCUGAUCCAGCCAUGCCGCGUGAGUGAUGAAGGCCUUAGGGUUGUAAAGCUCUUUCAGUCGGAGAAGAUAAUGACUGGACUC